GACGAACGCUGGCGGCGUGCUUAACACAUGCAAGUCGAACGCUGAAGCUCAGCUUUUGUUGGGUGGAUGAGUGGCGAACGGGUGAGUAACACGUGAGUAACCUGCCCCCUUCUUUGGGAUAACGCCCGGAAACGGGUGCUAAUACUGGAUAUUCACUGGUCUUCGCAUGGGGGUUGGUGGAAAGGGUUUUUCUGGUGGGGGAUGGGCUCGCGGCCUAUCAGCUUGUUGGUGGGGUGAUGGCCUACCAAGGCUUUGACGGGUAGCCGGCCUGAGAGGGUGACCGGUCACAUUGGGACUGAGAUACGGCCCAGACUACUACGGGAGGCAGAAGUGGGGAAUAUUGCACAAUGGGCGCAAGCCUGAUGCAGCGACGCCGCGGGAGGGAUGGAGGCCUUCGGGUUGUGAACCUCUUUCGCUCAUGGUCAAGCCGCAACAAUGGUUGUGGUGAGGGUAGUGGGUAAAGAAGCGCCGGCUAACUACGUG
rnacentral:rRNA from 1 species